rnacentral:sRNA from 1 species
GACAGAGUGCAGCCUUUUCCUCCCCUAAUAGAAAAGCCAUUGCCCUCUUUUCCUCCACCCUUAAGAAGACCUGCAUCUGUUGGACCAACAGACAACUAUCCGGCUUACGGCCAGGGGAGCCCCUGCAGCUGCACAGAACCAGUUUCUUAUGUAUCUGGCGGUAACUGGGGAAGCUUCUGAGAAAGUCCAUGGGGCCGAUGUAUGGGAGAUGAAUGUGGUCCAGGAGGCAUCCAAACGAGGGCUGUGUGGUGUGCUCAUGUGGAGGGAUGGACUACACUGCAUACUAACUGUAAGCAGGCCGAGAGACCCAAUAACCAGCAGAAUUGUUUCAAAGUUUGCGAUUGGCACAAAGAGUUGUACGACUGGAGACUGGGACCUUGGAAUCAGUGUCAGCCUGUGAUUUCAAAAAGCCUCGAGAAACCUCUUGAGUGCAUUAAGGGGGAAGAAGGUAUUCAGGUGAGGGAGAUAGCGUGCAUCCAGAAAGACAAAGACAUUCCUGCGGAGGAUAUCAUCUGUGAGUACUUUGAGCCCAAG